rnacentral:rRNA from 1 species
AGUGAACGCUGGCGGUAGGCCUAACACAUGCAAGUCGAACGGCAGCACAGUAGGAGCUUGCUCUUACGGGUGGCGAGUGGCGGACGGGUGAGGAAUACAUCGGAAUCUACUUUUUCGUGGGGGAUAACGUAGGGAAACUUACGCUAAUACCGCAUACGACCUACGGGUGAAAGCAGGGGAUCUUCGGACCUUGCGCGAUUGAAUGAGCCGAUGUCGGAUUAGCUAGUUGGCGGGGUAAAGGCCCACCAAGGCGACGAUCCGUAGCUGGUCUGAGAGGAUGAUCAGCCACACUGGAACUGAGACACGGUCCAGACUCCUACGGGAGGCAGCAGUGGGGAAUAUUGGACAAUGGGCGCAAGCCUGAUCCAGCCAUACCGCGUGGGUGAAGAGGGCCUUCGGGUUGUAAAGCCCUUUUGUUGGGAAAGAAAAGCAGCAGGUUAAUACCCCGCUGUUCUGACGGUACCCAAAGAAUAAGCACCGGCUAACUUCGUG